GCAACGCGAAGAACCUUACCAGGCCUUGACAUGCAGAGAACUUCCAGAGAUGGAUUGGUGCCUUCGGGAACUCUGACACAGGUGCUGCAUGGCUGUCGUCAGCUCGUGUCGUGAGAUGUUGGGUUAAGUCCCGUAACGAGCGCAACCCUUGUCCUUAGUUACCAGCACGUUAUGGUGGGCACUCUAAGGAGACUGCCGGUGACAAACCGGGAGGAAGGUGGGGAUGACGUCAAGUCAUCCAUGGCCCUUACGGCCUGGGCUACACACGUGCUACAAUGGUCGGUACAAAGGGUUGCCAAGCCGCGAGGUGGAGCUAAUCCCAAUAAAACCGAUCGUAGUCCGGAUCGCAGUCUGCAACUCGACUGCGUGAAGUCGGAAUCGCUAGUAAUCGUGAAAUCAGAAUGUCACGGUGAAUACGUUCCCGGCCUU
rnacentral:rRNA from 1 species